GACGAACGCUGGCGGCGUGCCUAAUACAUGCAAGUAGAACGCAGUUGCGAACGGGUGAGUAACGCGUAGGUAACUGCCUGGUAGUGGGGGAUAACUAUUGGAAACGAUAGCUAAUACCGCAUACUACCAGAUGGACCUGCGUUGUAUUAGCUAGUUGGUGAGGUAACGGCUCACCAAGGCAACGAUACAUAGCCGACCUGAGAAGGGGAUCGGCAAAACUGGGACUGAUACACGGCCCAGACUCCUACGGGAGGCAGCAGUAGGGAAUCUUCGGCGAUGGGGGAGACCCUGACCGAGCAAAGCCGCGUGAGUGAAGAAGGUUUUCGGAUCGUAAAGCUCUGUUGUUAAGGAAGCGGUACUUAACCAGAAAGGGACGGCUGACUACGUGCCAGCGGCCGCGGUAAUUC
rnacentral:rRNA from 1 species